CCUAGUGGCGGACGGGUGAGUAACGCGUGGGUAACCUGCCUUACACAGGGGGAUAACACCUGGAAACAGGUGCUAAUACCGCAUAAGCGCACAGGGCCGCAUGGCCCGGUGUGAAAAACUCCGGUGGUGUAAGAUGGACCCGCGUCUGAUUAGCUUGUUGGCGGGGUAGGGGCCCACCAAGGCGACGAUCAGUAGCCGGCCUGAGAGGGCGGACGGCCACAUUGGGACUGAGACACGGCCCAGACUCCUACGGGAGGCAGCAG
rnacentral:rRNA from 1 species